rnacentral:tRNA from 2 species
GCUGGAGUGGCGGAACUGGCAGACGCACGGGACUCAAAAUCCCGCGACCUUCACUGGUCAUGUGGGUUCGACCCCCACCUCCAGCACCA